UAAUACGGAGGGUGCAAGCGUUAAUCGGAAUUACUGGGCGUAAAGCGCACGCAGGCGGUUUGUUAAGUCAGAUGUGAAAUCCCCGGGCUCAACCUGGGAACUGCAUUUGAAACUGGCAAGCUAGAGUCUCGUAGAGGGGGGUAGAAUUCCAGGUGUAGCGGUGAAAUGCGUAGAGAUCUGGAGGAAUACCGGUGGCGAAGGCGGCCCCCCUGGACGAAGACUGACGCUCAGGUGCGAAAGCGUGGGGAGCAAACAGGAUUAGAUACCCUGGUAGUCCACGCUGUAAACGAUGUCGAUUUGGAGGUUGUGCCCUUGAGGCGUGGCUUCCGGAGCUAACGCGUUAAAUCGACCGCCUGGGGAGUACGGCCGCAAGGUUA
rnacentral:rRNA from 1 species